rnacentral:rRNA from 1 species
CGGGACGGGUGAGUAAUGUCUGGGAAACUGCCUGAUGAGGGGGAGUAACUACUGGAAACGGUAGCUAAUACCGCAUAACGUCGCAAGACCAAAGAGGGGGACCUUCGGGCCUCUGCCAUCGGAUGUGCCCAGAUGGGAUUAGCUAGUAGGUGGGGUAACGGCUCACCUAGGCGACGAUCCCUAGCUGGUCUGAGAGGAUGACCAGCCACACUGGAACUGAGACACGGUCCAG